UUGACCCCAAAACAGGUAAGAAUACCCGCUU
rnacentral:rRNA from 1 species